rnacentral:rRNA from 1 species
CUUGGAGCUAUCCGGCGAAGAAGGACGUGGUAAGCUGCGAAAAUUGUGGGGGAGAAGCAAACAUUCUAAGAUCCCGCGGUGUCCGAAUGGGGUAACCCACCAGUCAAUAGAUUGGUAUCGCGCUUUGAAUAAAAUAGGAGCGUUGAAGUCAUACGUAGGGAAGUGAAUCAUCUAAGUACCUACAGGAAAAUAAAUCAAACGAGAUUCCCUUAGUAGCGGCGAGCGAAAGGGGAAGAGUCUAAACCGUGUCAGAUUAUAGUUUUACGACGUUUCUGAUGCGGGGUUGCAAGAGUAUGUGCGGGGCGCGUAAACUGUCCUGGAUGAGUAAAAAAACUAAUUUAUAGCUGAACACUUUGGGAAGGGUGAUCGAAGAAGGUGAAAAUCCUGUAGGCGAAAUAAAUUAGACUCAUUGGCAUAUUUCUUAAGUACGGCGAGACACGUGAAACCUUGUCGGAAUCUGCGGGGCCCACCCUGCAAGACUAAAUACGAGAUAGCUACCGAUAGUGAACGAGUACUGUGAAGGAAGCGGUGAAAAGCACCCCGGGAGGGGAGUGAAAAAGAACCUGAAACCAUGGACUUACAAGCGGUCAAAGCCUCUAUAUGGGGUGAUGGCGUGCCUUUUGUAGAAUGAGCCUGCGAGUUAUCAUAUGAAGCGAGGUUAAGCAAUAGAAGUUGCGGAGCCGGAGGGAAACCGAGUCUUAAUAGGGCGAAUGAGUUUCAUGUGGUAGACCCGAAUCCGAGUGAUCUAUUUAUGGUCAGGCUGAAGCUUGGGUAAGACCAAGUGGAGGGCCGAACACUAGUCCGCUGAAAAGGGCAGUGAUGAACUGUGAAUAGGGGUGAAAGGCUAAUCAAACUCGGAGAUAGCUGGUUCUCCUCGAAAUGUAUUUAGGUACAGCCUCAAUUGUUUAAUUAGCGGGGUAAAGCACUGAUUAGGCUAGGGCCCGUCACUGGGUACCAAACUUAGUUAAACUAUGAAUACGCUAAUUCCAAAGAUUGGGAGUGAGACUGCGGGCGAUAAGGUUCGUGGUCGAAAGGGAAACAGCCCAGACCGUUGAUUAAGGUCCCAAAAUUGUGUUAAGUGGAGAAGGAAGUGUUACGGCGAAGACAGCUAGGAGGUUGGCUUAGAAGCAGCCAUUCCUUAAAAGAGUGCGUAAUAGCUCACUAGUCGAGUCGUGAUGCGCCUAAAAUGUAACGGGGCUAAACACAAUACCGAAGUCACGGGUUUUACACAUAAGUGUAAAGCGGUAGAGGAGCAUUCCCUAGGGCGAUGAAGGUGAGUUGGAAAACUUGCUGGAGCUAUGGGAAGAGAGAAUGCAGGCAUGAGUAACGAAAAGAAGGGUGAGAUCCCCUUCCGCCGAAAAUGUAAGGUUUCCAGGGUGAAGGUUGUCUUCCCUGGGUGAGUCGACCCCUAAGGCGAGGCUGAAAAGCGUAGUCGAUGGGAAGCAGGUUAAUAUUCCUGCACUUCUAAUAGUUUCGAUGGAACGACGCAGAAGGAGAAUAUCCGCCACUUAUUGGAUUGUGGUUUAAGCAUCAAGCUGUUUGAGAGAGCACAGGUAAAUCCAUGUUCUUAGGUAAGAUGUGACGAAGAAGGUUGUAAUGAACUGGAAGGGAUAGGAUUCAAACUGCCAAGAAAUAGUUUCUAAGGUUAGGCUAUUGGAAAUCGUACCGUAAACCGACACAGGUACAUGAGAUGAGUAUUCUAAGGCGUACGAGAGAACUAGAGUUAAGGAACUCGGCAAAAUACAUACGUAACUUCGGGAUAAGUAUGACCACUGUAAAGUGGUGUCACAAGAGAGGUUCGGGCGACUGUUUACCAAAAACACAGGUCUCUGCUAACUCGCAAGAGGAAGUAUAGGGGCUGACGCCUGCCCGGUGCUGGAAGGUUAAGAGGAUUGGUUAGUAAUUUAUUACGAAGCUGAGAAUUGAAGCCCCAGUAAACGGCGGCCGUAACUAUAACGGUCCUAAGGUAGCGAAAUUCCUCGUCGGGUAAUUUCCGACCCGCACGAAUGGCGUAACGAUCCGGACACUGUCUCGACUCUAGGCUCGGUGAAAUUGAAGUAUCGGUGAAGAUGCCGAUUACCCACAGUUAGACGGAAAGACCCCGUGAACCUUUACUGUAACCUGAUAUUGGAAUUUGGGCAAUGAUGCGUAGGAUAGGUGGGAGACUGGGAAGUUUGAGCUUUGGCUUGAAUGGAGUCAUUGGU